rnacentral:pre_miRNA from 1 species
CAAGUACUCCUUCCGUCCGGAAUUACUUGUCAUCAAAAUGGAUGUGUCUAGAACUAAAAUACAUCUAGAUACAUCCAUUUCAAUGACAAGUAUUUUCGGACGAAGGGAGUACAAG